UACAGAGGGUGCGAGCGUUGUUCGGAAUUAUUGGGCGUAAAGCGCGUGUAGGCGGGAUGGUAAGUUGGGUGUGAAAGCCCUCAGCUCAACUGAGGAAGUGCGCCCGAAACUACUGUUCUUGAGUACUGGAGAGGGUGGCGGAAUUCCCGGUGUAGAGGUGAAAUUCGUAGAUAUCGGGAGGAACACCAGUGGCGAAGGCGGCCACCUGGCCAGAUACUGACGCUGAGACGCGAAAGCGUGGGGAGCAAACAGG
rnacentral:rRNA from 1 species